UCGUAACAAGGUUUCCGUAGGUGAACCUGCGGAAGGAUCAUUGUCGUGACCCUGACCAAAACAGACCGUGCUCGUGUCAUCCAAUCCGCCGGCGGUGGCACCAACCAUCGCUCGGCCAAGCCCUCGACCACCUCCCCUCCUCGGAGUGGGGGCUCGGGGCAAAAGAACCCACGGCGCCGAAGGCGUCAAGGAACACUGUGCCUAACUCGGGGUCAUGGCUAGCUUGCUAGUCGUCCCUCGUGUUGCAAAGCUAUUUAAUCCACACGACUCUCGGCAACGGAUAUCUCGGCUCUCGCAUCGAUGAAGAACGUAGCGAAAUGCGAUACCUGGUGUGAAUUGCAGAAUCCCGCGAACCAUCGAGUCUUUGAACGCAAGUUGCGCCCGAGGCCACUCGGCCGAGGGCACGCCUGCCUGGGCGUCACGCCAAAACACGCUCUCAACCACCCUCAUUGGGAAUCGGGAUGCGGCAUAUGGUCCCUCGUCCCGCAAGGGGCGGUGGGCCGAAGAUCGGGCUGCCGGUGCACCGCGUCGGACACAGCGCAUGGUGGGCGUUCUUGCUUUAUCAACGUAGUGCAUCCGACGCAUAGCUGGCGUGAUGGCCCCUAAAGGACCUAGCAAACGAAGCGCACGUCGCUUCGACCGCGACCCCAGGUCAGGCGGGACUACCCGCUGAGUUUAAGCAUAUCAAUAAGCGGAGGA
rnacentral:rRNA from 2 species